GAUGAACGCUGGCGGCGUGCUUAAUACAUGCAAGUCGAACGGAGAGUAGUAAUAUUCUUAGUGGCGAACGGGUGAGUAACGCGUUGGUGACCUGCCCCGAAGUGGGGGAUAACAGCUCGAAAGGGCUGCUAAUACCCCAUGUGAUUACAGGCGUUGGAGAACUGUAAUGAAAGCAAUAAUGCGCUUUGGGAGGGGACUGCGUCCCAUCAGCUAGUUGGUAAGGUAAAGGCUUACCAAGGCGACGACGGGUAGGGGACCUGAGAGGGUGACCCCCCACACUGGCACUGAAACACGGGCCAGACACUACGGGUGGCAGCAGUAGGGAAUAUUGCACAAUGGGCGAAAGCCUGAUGCAGCAACGCCGCGUGCCCGAUGAAGGCCUUCGGGUCGUAAAGGCCUUUUCUGGAGGACGAGGAAGGACAGUACUCCAGGAAGAAGGAUCGGCUAACUACGUGCCAGCAGUCGCGGUAAAACGUAGGAUCCGAGCGUUAUCCGAAUUCACUGGGCGUAAAGCGCGUGCAGGCGGCUGGAAAAGUUGGAUGUGAAAUCUCCUGGCUUAACUGGGAGAGGUCGUUCAAGACUAUCCGGCUAGAGGACGGUAGAGGAAGGUGGAAUUCCCGGUGUAGUGGUGAAAUGCGUAGAUAUCGGGAGGAACACCAGUGGCGAAGGCGGCCUUCUGGGCCGAUCCUGACGCUCAGACGCGAAAGCUAGGGGAGCAAACGGGAUUAGAAACCCCGGUAGUCCUAGCCGUAAACGAUGUAGACUGGGUGUCGGCGGAGUAAAAUCUGUCGGUGCCGAAGCCAACGCGAUAAGUCUACCGCCUGGGGACUACGGCCGCAAGGUUA
rnacentral:rRNA from 1 species